GAUGAACGCUGGCGGCGUGCCUAAUACAUGCAAGUCGAGCGAACAGAUAAGGAGCUUGCUCCUUUGACGUUAGCGGCGGACGGGUGAGUAACACGUGGAUAACCUACCUAUAAGACUGGGAUAACUUCGGGAAACCGGAGCUAAUACCGGAUAACAUAUUGAACCGCAUGGUUCAAUAGUGAAAGGCGGCUUUGCUGUCACUUAUAGAUGGAUCCGCGCCGUAUUAGCUAGUUGGUAAGGUAACGGCUUACCAAGGCAACGAUACGUAGCCGACCUGAGAGGGUGAUCGCCCACACAGGAGCUGAGACGCGGCCCAGACUCCUACGGGAGGCAGAAGUAGCGAAGCUUGCGAAAUGGGCGAAAGCCUGACGGAUCGACGCCGCCUGAGUGAUGAAGGUCUUCGGACCGGAAAACUGUGUUAUCAGGGAAGAACAAAUUUGUAAGUAACGGAGCACAUCUGGAGGGUACCUGUUCAGAAAGCCCGGGUUAAUUACGG
rnacentral:rRNA from 1 species